rnacentral:rRNA from 1 species
AUUCCGGUUGAUCCUGCCGGGGGUCACUGCUAUCGGGGUUCGAUUAAGCCAUGCGAGUUGAGAGGGUUUAGACCCUCGGCGGACUGCUCAGUAACACGUGGAUAACCUGCCCUAAGGUGGAGCAUAACCCCGGGAAACUGGGGAUAAUACUCCAUAGAUUAGAGAUACUGGAAUGUUCUCUAGUCGAAAGCUCCGGCGCCUUAGGAUGGAUCUGCGGUCGAUUAGGUUGUUGUUGGGGUAACGGCCCAACAAGCCUGUAAUCGAUACGGGUUGUGGGAGCAAGAGCCCGGAGAUGGAAUCUGANACACGAUUCCAGGCCCUACGGGGCGCACANGCGCGAAAACUUUACNAUGCNNGAAACUGNGAUAAGGGAACCCC